AACUGGACGCUGAGGCACGAAAGCGUGGGUAGCAAAACAGGAUUAGAUACCCUGGUAGUUCCACGCCCUAAACGAUGCAUAUUUGGUGUGGGCCAUUCAUUUGGUCUGUGCCGGAGCUAACGCGUUAAAUAUGCCGCCUGGGGAGUACAGUCGCAAGGCUGAAACUCAAAGGAAUUGACGGGGGCCCGCACAAGCGGUGGAGCAUGUGGUUUAAUUCGACGCAACGCGAAGAACCUUACCUGGGCUCGAAAUGCUAUGGACCAGCUUAUGAAAGUAGGCCUUCCCGCAAGGGACCGUAGUAUAGGUGCUGCAUGGCUGUCGUCAGCUCGUGUCGUGAGAUGUUGGGUUAAGUCCCGCAACGAGCGCAACCCUUGUCCUGUGUUGCCAUGCCGAAAGGUGGAACUCGCAGGAGACCGCCAGGGAUAACCUGGAGGAAGGUGGGGAUGACGUCAAGUCCUCAUGGCCUUUAUGUCCAGGGCUACACACGUGCUACAAUGGACGGUACAAAGGGCUGCCAACCCGCGAGGGGGAGCCAAUCCCAAAAACCGUUCUCAGUUCGGAUUGCAGGCUGCAACUCGCCUGCAUGAAGCUGGAAUCGCUAGUAAUGGUGGAUCAGAACGCCACCGUGAAUACGUUCCCGGGCCUUGUACACACCGCCCGUCACAUCACGAAAGUGGGUUGUACUAGAAGUUCGCGCGCUAACCCGCAAGGGAGGCAGCGGCCCAAGGUAUGACUCAUGAUUGGGGUGAAGUCGUAACAAGGUAAC
rnacentral:rRNA from 1 species